rnacentral:rRNA from 1 species
CCUACGGGAGGCAGCAGUGAGGAAUAUUGGUCAAUGGACGCAAGUCUGAACCAGCCAUGCCGCGUGCAGGAAGACGGCUCUAUGAGUUGUAAACUGCUUUUGUCCAGGGGUAAACGUGGAUACGUGUAUUCAGCUGAAAAGACUUUACGAAUAAGGAUCGGCUAACUCCGUUCCAGCCGCCGCGGUAAUACGGAGGAUCCAAGCGUUAUCCGGAUUUAUGGGGUUUAAAGGGUGCGUAGGCGGAUUGAUAAGUUAGAGGUGAAAUGGCCGGGCGAAACGCGGGAACUGCCUCUCAUACUGGUGAGCUAGAGAGUAGAUGCGGGAGGAGGAAUGUAUGGUGUAGCGGUGAAAUGCUUAGAGAUCAUACAGAACACCGAUUGCGAAGGCAGCUUACCAAUCGAUAUUUGACGCUGAGGCACGAAAGCGUGGGGAGCAAACAGGAUUAGAUACCCCUGUAGUC